CCUACGGGUGGCAGCAGUGGGGAAUAUUGCACAAUGGGGGAAACCCUGAUGCAGCGACGCCGCGUGAGUGAAGAAGUAAUUCGUUACGUAAAGCUCUAUCAGCAGGGAAGAAACACUGACCUUACGGUCAGCAGACGGUACCUGAGGAAGAAGCCCAGGCUAACUACGUGCCAGCAGCCGCGGUAAUACGUAGGGGGCAAGCGUUAUCCGGAUUUACUGGGUGUAAAGGGGGCGUAGACGGUGCGCCAAGUCUGGAGUGAAAUGCCGCAGCUUAACUGCGGAACUGCUUUGGAAACUGGCGAACUAGAGUGCGGGAGGGGUAAGCGGAAUUCGUAGUGUAGCGGUGAAAUGCGUAGAUAUUAGGAGGAACACCGGUGGCGAAGGCGGCUUACUGGACCGUAACUGACGUUGAGGCUCGAAAGCGUGGGGAGCAAACAGGAUUAGAUACCCCGGUAGUC
rnacentral:rRNA from 1 species